AGCGAACGCUGGCGGCAGGCCUAACACAUGCAAGUCGAACGAAGUCUUCGGACUUAGUGGCGGACGGGUGAGUAACACGUGGGAACGUGCCUUUAGGUUCGGAAUAACUCAGGGAAACUUGUGCUGAUACCGAAUGUGCCCUUCGGGGGAAAGAUUUAUCGCCUUUAGAGCGGCCCGCGUCUGAUUAGCUAGUUGGUGAGGUAAAGACUCACCAAGGCUACGAUCAGUAGCUGGUCUGAGAGGAUGACCAGCCACAUUGGGACUGAGACACGGCCCAAACUCCUACGGGAGGCAGCAGUGGGGAAUCUUGCGCAAUGGGCGAAAGCCUGACGCAGCCAUGCCGCGUGGAUGAUGAAGGUCUUAGGAUUGUAAAAUCCUUUCACCGGUGAAGAUAAUGACUGUAGCCGGAGAAGAAGCCCCGGCUAACUUCGUGCCAGCCGCCGCCGUAAGAC
rnacentral:rRNA from 1 species